UCCAUGGGGUCACAAAGAGUCAGACAAGAUUGAGGGACUGAACAACAGGAGGCCCAACAAGAAAAAUCAAUGAUUGUAUUUCCAUUUUAAUAUAAACAUUUAGUGUCCAACCCUCCACUUCACCAUCUCAUUAGCAUUUGAAUGCAAACCCUCAUUGCAGGUAGUUAUUUCAAAACCUUUUUAAAUUUUCAGGCAGAGAAAGCAAAUAGGGCAAACUAGAGACCCUAGCUGACAGGUAAUCAAAUACUAUAAUCAUGACAAGGGUGGGGGACAGACUGUAGGAAAUGGGAAAAUAUCAACUUCAAAUUCAUCUCUGCCUCCAGGGAGCUACUCUGGUGCUUAUUUGGAUUUUCAGAGAAUCUUUGAGCUUUUGUUUUACAAAUAUAGCACCUCCAAAACAUAACAAUAAAUAAAGUGGAUUUUAUGAUGGUCAGUUUAAGCCCUAAAUGGCCAAAAUUUCCUUUUCUCCUGUUGAGGAGUCACCACCUCUGAGGACACUAGAGAAGACUCCUUGGCUAAAACCUCCAGUCAGAAAGAAAAGUGCUAUUUGAAGCCCAGUGCCCUCCCCACCUGGUGACCUUGUGUCCCGCCUCCAAAGUCACAGAAAGCAGCCUGUACUCUUCCUGAAAAAUGUUUAGCCGGUCUGCAUAUCCAUCCACCCAGCACGCCAGGUGUGAUUGAGACAAUUUAGGCUGAGUGCAAAGUGCUCCAUUUCAGGCUGAAAUCACGCCAAAGACUCCUUACAAAAGCUACAUUCAGCAUCUCCAAUUCCACAUUCCAUCCCGUGCAUUGUCUGACAUUAUUACCCAGGAUUCCAAAAGCACUUGGCCGUGUUAAAUAAGAGUCGGGAAGGAAAACUAUAGCAAGGGACUGCUGGAGGAGGCAAAGCUGGAAUAAUGAAGAGGGUCACAGCCAGAGAUGUCAGCUGAGCUCUGAAAAUAGACGCGGCUUAAUGAGCAGGAAGGAGGUUGGAUUUCUCCAAAAAGGCAGAUUCAACCAGCCAGUAGUUGAUGCCUGCCAGUUGGUGACCAUGGAAACCACAAUGCCAGAAAAUCUAUCUUCCAAUCUCUCUCCACUACCUCAUCCUUUAACAACUGAAGUUUCUAACUUAUAAAAUUAAGACUCCAAGAAUCAACCAUGAAAUUGAAGUUUAAAUGAGUG